CUACGGGCCGCUCCAGUGGGGAAUAUUGCACAAUGGGCGCAAGCCUGAUGCAGCCAUGCCGCGUGUAUGAAGAAGGCCUUCGGGUUGUAAAGUACUUUCAGCGGGGAGGAAGGGAGUAAAGUUAAUACCUUUGCUCAUUGACGUUACCCGCAGAAGAAGCACCGGCUAACUCCGUGCCAGCAGCCGCGGUAAUACGGAGGGUGCAAGCGUUAAUCGGAAUUACUGGGCGUAAAGCGCACGCAGGCGGUUUGUUAAGUCAGAUGAGAAAUCCCCGGGCUCAACCUGGGAACUGCAUCUGAUACUGGCAAGUUUGAGUCUCGUAGAGGGGGGUAGAAUUCCAGGUGUAGCGGUGAAAUGCGUAGAGAUCUGGAGGAAUACCGGUGGCGAAGGCGGCCCCCUGGACGAAGACUGACGCUCAGGUGCGAAAGCGUGGGGAGCAAACAGGAUUAGAUACCCCAGUAGUC
rnacentral:rRNA from 1 species